UUCUGAUUUUCACUUUUUGGAUUCUCGCGGUGGUCGCAAUGGCAGUGGCAACCGUUUCUUAGUGGUUGUCGGAGUUGUGCGAGUGGCGUCGCCGUGGAUGCUGUCGGAGUGUUGCGGCGGUUGGCCGUGGAGUCCCUGAAUUGAAUAUUAUGUUUGGCUUGGCAGAUUAGGGUGGUCUGGUUAGGCCAGUGGUUUAGUUUGGACUUGGAUUUGGGUCGGAUUGAUUUGACAGUGGGCCAACCUUGACUAAUGAUUGAAAUGAGUGAGUGUUGAAGUUAGGAUGAGUGAGUGUUGGAAUUGUACCUGAACGAGUGGCUGAUCGAUGAGCAUAAGAGUGAGGGAUAAGUUCGCUUUCUGUACCUAGUAAAGCCUGAGACUAUCGACCGAUUGAGAUAGCAACUUCCUUUGGCCUUGUGUGCGAAAAGGGAGUGCUC
rnacentral:lncRNA from 1 species